UUUAAUUUUGUCGGCCUUCGGAAAGGAGCAUCGCGAAGGGGAAAGGGAAUGUGCCUCUUCCGAAAUGACCGAUCAUUCUUAGAGGAUCGGGGACGAAAACUCUGCAAGGCAAAAACAGUUCUCGAUGAUCGCCAUUUUUGUGGACAAAUUGCAGAGGAACACAGAGGUAGCAGCAUCGGAUCCUAAAUUAAAAUGGAGAAAGAGAUGAGGACGAUGUGAAAUCUGAACCAGGAGACGAAUCGAGCGGUAAAUUGGAUGGAAUUGCGUUGCGAUGUUUUCAAUUUAGGGUUUGCAGAAGGAAUAGUUGAAUCAAGAGUGACACUGACAGUUGCUAAUAAUUGAUGGAUUGAUGGAUUUCUUGUUUGAUGAUGGAACUGUUCAUCUUCACCUUUUUGUUUCUGACAGCACGAUUGGAAAUCUGGAACUUCGCUCGAUAAGGAGAAGACAGAUCAGUAGUGUGCAUGCGGAAGUGACGGCGGAGGAGACAGCGGAGGCCGGCAAGGCGGGGCGGAGAUUAGAAGAGAUUUCGAUAUGACUUUCAAGCUAUGUGAAGAAUAUCUCAUCCAAUUCCCCCAAGGGAUUUCCAGUUCAAUUCCUACAGUAGAAGUUGGAUAAGUUGCUGUCAUGGUGAUGGAAAAUAGCUGAGAAAUGGAUUUCACCAACAGCAGAGGAUGAAAUGGCAGAAGAAGAAGAAGUUGAAGAAGAAGAAGAAGAAGAAGAAGAAGAAGAAGAAGAAGAAGAAGAAGAAGAAGAAGAAAGGAAUCCUGAUGAUGCUGCAGCAGAGAAGAAUGGCACAGAGGUUAAUCCAUUUGAGUGGCCAUGGAUUUGCCACUCCCCCAUUCUCGUCUCUGCUGCUCUUUCCUGCAUUCGCAAUUUUAAUUCACAGGCAAAAGUCAGAACACCAAAUAUGAUAUAUCUACUGAACUACAUGAGGAGCUGAAUGCAAACACAAGAAAUUUAUGUUCGGAUUAUAUGAAGUUUGUUUAUCAAAUGGUUCAUUACCCUGGAGAUGGGAAAGAAACAGGAAUUUGAAGGCACAGCAUAGCCAUAUGGCUGAGAAGAUCCAAUUGCUGCUGUAACAGAGUUCUCAAGCUGUUUGUGAUUGAGCAAGAUGUUAGCCAAGCAUUAACAGGAAAACAAAAGAACUCCAGAACUUAGUCUUGAGAAUUACCGUCGCUCUACCAUCAACGACGAUGUCAGGUGAGCUGAGAUGACAACCAUUACCAAACAUGCCAAUGCUCUCACUUUGAGGGUCAGAAUGAUUGGGGGGAGCAAUUCGCAAGCUCAGGUCAAGACUCUGGUUGUCCUCUACAAAUCAAGACGGUUUUCGAAACCAAUUGUUACCGAUCGAGCAAACGGGGUUGUUAAGAACUAGAUUGACAAAAUGUAUAAACAGAGAAGAACCAAACCUCCUGUGUCAGUCUCUGCAGCCAUCUCUGACAUAUAAGAACUUGGAUCAAAGUUUGUUACAGCCUCUUUACCAUUGCAUCUUAAGGCAGCUAUGUCAUAGGCCCUGAUUGAACAACAGUAAACUAUCAAGUUAAGGGCGUGACCCGAACGUACCGAAAAGAAAGAAGAAAGGCAAACAAGCUGUGUCACUCCCGACUAUAAAAGCUUCUUGCGAGGAAGCCCUCCGUGACACUAGCCUUAAGCUAACAGCGAACAUAUGGAAGCAUUAGAAAGUCAGAAAGAUUUAAGAAGACCUUGCAGCUUCAAUCUCACUAUCAAAGAGACCAAGAUACAUGUACCUAUAAGGAAGAAAAAUGCCAACAAAAACAGGUCGAUUCAAGCCAAAAUCCCAGAAACAUGAUCCAAGAAACACACAGAAAAGGAAGUCCCAGAAUAAUUUAGACUCACUUCCUGCCCAAGAACUGGCCCAUCCGAGCUUCCCAUCGACCACAUUUAUGCAAGGUAACUCCUCUGUACUUCGAGCUCCCUCUUGUAAAUCCAUUGCUACGGCGACGAAGAUUAUGAAUAAGCUCUUCCUUACUGAUAUUACUCAUCUGGGGUGUUAAUGGCAGAAUCAGAGAGAAGCUCUUCAUCAAUGGCGUUAUUUGAAUUUCUGACAGUAACAAGCAUUAUCUUAGACUACUACCUCACCUGUUUGAUAUCUUCUUCAUAAUUUUUGACACUGAAAUUGAUAUCUGCGUCGACCCCCCGAAACUUGAUCGCCGCUUUAUCAUAUGCUCUGAGAUGGAAGAUAUGAAUUCUAAGAGAAAUCCAACCAAAAAUGGCGGAAAGAACAAGAGAAGUGGUUUUUUAUUGUUACCUGGCGGCAGCAUGAGCAGUAUCGAAACCGCCUGAAGGAAAAGAGAAACAGCCAUAGAGAAAAUGAUGAAUCGAAGUUCGAGAAAAGAAAAGAAAAGAAAAGAAAAGGAAUCAAACAGCAAUGGCCGUACCCAAAUAAACCUGUUUCCCGCAGUCCCUGGUAACGAACAGAAAAGGUGCUCAAGAACGGCAUAAAUGGCGGAUUCAAAUUCAAGCAACCUAAUAAGGUCAUGGAACUGUCAAAACAAUAAAACACUUACCAAAUAUGCGAUUCCCAUCUCCCGGUUCUACGAUAAUACGUAACGCCACGAUACUGCGAACUUCGAGGCCUUGGACCGCGUCUGUUUUUCCUCAUCGUCUGAUCCUGUGGCUGCGCCGGUGCGCCGCCGUCUCCAUGAUUGAAUUCCGAUGGAGAAACCUCCGGCCACUGCUUCUGAGUACUCGAACUAGAAUUUAAUCCGUCGGUUAACGGGAAGAACUCCAUCGUCUGGUCGCGGUGGUCAUCGGAGUUAAAUUCAUCGGAAAUAGAAUUUAAUCCGUCCGUUAACGGGAAGAGCUCCAUCGUCUGGUCGCAGUGGUCAUCGGAAAUAGAAAGUGAUUUCACCGUUGAGCUUUCUUGAACCGCGGAAUUUUUACCGAAAGUGAACGGGAAAACCUCGUCGACGUUGGUGGUGCUGGCGGAAGGAUCGCCAUUAACGACGGAGGACGAGUUGAAACAUCCAGCGGUUUCCAUUCUGUUCGCUGGAAGAUUCAGAAAAUUCUCAGUAACCAUCUCCGAUGGAACAACGUCGUGGUUAAGAUUCAGCAUGGGCUUGAAACUCCACCUGCAAAAAAAACAUGGAAAUCAAAGCAUAAUUGGAUUGUAAAGAAUCAAACCACCACAACACUUCAGCUGUUACACAAUCAGAGGAUCAUUGUUGAAGAAACAAAGAGAAAAUGAAGAAGAAAACAAUAAGGGUGGAGAUGGGUCACCAGUAAACAGACUCCUGACUGGUUGAAUCAAUGAAGAGAGGAGAAUGAAGUCGAAAGAGAAAGUGGGUGAAGUUGUUAAUUUAUUGAAGGUGGGAGCUCGAUUUCCAUGGCGGAUAGAGGCAGGAAAUUGAGAAAAGACGAGGUGGGGGUCACUAAAAAACUGCACUUCUCUUGUCUCUUUCUGUAGUUUGAAAGAAAUCAACGAAAACGUUUUAUUUUAAUUUAAUUUUGUUUUUAUUUUUA